rnacentral:rRNA from 1 species
GACGAACGCUGGCGGCGUGCUUAACACAUGCAAGUCGAACGGAAAGGCCCUGCUUUUGUGGGGUGCUCGAGUGGCGAACGGGUGAGUAACACGUGAGUAACCUGCCCUUGACUUUGGGAUAACUUCAGGAAACUGGGGCUAAUACCGGAUAGGAGCUCCUGCUGCAUGGUGGGGGUUGGAAAGUUUCGGCGGUUGGGGAUGGACUCGCGGCUUAUCAGCUUGUUGGUGGGGUAGUGGCUUACCAAGGCUUUGACGGGUAGCCGGCCUGAGAGGGUGACCGGCCACAUUAGGACUGAGCUACGGCCCAGACUACUACGGGAGGCAGGAGUGGGGAAUAGUGCACAAUGGGCGGAAGCCUGAUGCAGCAACGCCGCGUGCGGGAUGACGGCCUGCGGGUUGUAAACCGCUUUCGCCUGUGACGAAGCGUGAGUGACGGUAAUGGGUAAAGAAGCACCGGCUAACUACGUG